rnacentral:rRNA from 1 species
UACAUGGGGUGCAAACGUUGCUCGGAAUUAUUGGGCGUAAAGCGCACGUAGGCGGUUUGUUAAGUCGGAUGUGAAAUCCCUCGGCUCAACUGAGGAAGUGCAUCCGAAACUGGCAGGCUUGAGUACUAAAGAGGGUCGCGGAAUUCCCGGUGUAGAGGUGAAAUUCGUAGAUAUCGAGAGGAACACCGGUGGCGAAGGCGGCCAACUGGACAGAUACUGACGCUGAGACUCGAAAGCGUGGGGAGCAAACAGG